rnacentral:rRNA from 1 species
ACGGGAGGCAGCAGUGGGGAAUAUUGCACAAUGGGCGCAAGCCUGAUGCAGCGAUGCCGCGUGAGGGAAGAAGGUUUUCGGAUUGUAAACCUCUGUCAUCGGGGACGAUAAUGACUGUACCCGAGAAGGAAGCUCCGGCUAACUACGUGCCAGCAGCCGCGGUAAUACGUAGGGAGCGAGCGUUAUCCGGAUUUACUGGGUGUAAAGGGAGCGUAGACGGCAAAGCAAGUCUGAAGUGAAAUCCCGGGGCUCAACCCCGGAACUGCUUUGGAAACUGUUUAGCUAGAGUGCAGGAGAGGUAAGCGGAAUUCCUAGUGUAGCGGUGAAAUGCGUAGAUAUUAGGAGGAACACCAGUGGCGAAGGCGGCUUACUGGACUGUAACUGACGUUGAGGCUCGAAAGCGUGGGGAGCAAACAGGAUUAGAUACCCUGGUA